CCCUUACACCGAGAAGUCAUCCGUGCAAAUCGGAUAACUCUGACGCCCACUAGCUA
rnacentral:tRNA from 1 species